rnacentral:rRNA from 1 species
UCGAGGGGCAGCGAGAUCAGUGCUUGCACUGAUUGUCGGCGACCGGCGCACGGGUGCGUAACGCGUAUGCAACCUACCCAUUACAGGGGGAUAACACUGAGAAAUCGGUACUAAUACCCCAUAACAUCCAGGGAGGCAUCUUCUUGGGUUGAAAACUCCGGUGGUAAUGGAUGGGCAUGCGUUGUAUUAGUUAGUUGGUGGGGUAACGGCUCACCAAGACAACGAUACAUAGGGGGACUGAGAGGUUAACCCCCCACAUUGGUACUGAGACACGGACCAAACUCCUACGGGAGGCAGCAGUGAGGAAUAUUGGUCAAUGGACGCAAGUCUGAACCAGCCAUGCCGCGUGCAGGAAGACGGCUCUAUGAGUUGUAAACUGCUUUUGUACGAGGGUAAACGCAGAUACGCGUAUCUGUCUGAAAGUAUCGUACGAAUAAGGAUCGGCUAACUCCGUGCCAGCAGCCGCGGUAAUACGGAGGAUUCAAGCGUUAUCCGGAUUUAUUGGGUUUAAAGGGUGCGUAGGCGGUCGGAUAAGUUAGAGGUGAAAUCCCGAGGCUCAACUUCGGAAUUGCCUCUGAUACUGUUUGGCUAGAGAGUAGUUGCGGUAGGCGGAAUGUAUGGUGUAGCGGUGAAAUGCUUAGAGAUCAUACAGAACACCGAUUGCGAAGGCAGCUUACCAAGCUACUUCUGACGUUGAGGCACGAAAGCGUGGGGAGCAAACAGGAUUAGAUACCCUGGUAGUCCACGCAGUAAACGAUGAUAACUCGUUGUCGGCGAUACAUUGUCGGUGACUAAGCGAAAGCGAU